GAUGAACGCUAGCGGCAGGCUUAAUACAUGCAAGUCGAGGGGCAGCAUAAGUAGCAAUACUUGAUGGCGACCGGCAAACGGGUGCGGAACGCGUACGCAACCUUCCUUUAAGUGGGGAAUAGCCCGGGGAAACCCGGAUUAAUACCCCGUAAUAUUAUGAUGUGGCAUCACAUUAUAAUUAUAGAUUCAUCGCUUAAAGAUGGGCGUGCGCCUGAUUAGGUAGUUGGCGGAGUAAUAGCCCACCAAGCCUGCGAUCAGUAACUGGUGUGAGAGCACGACCAGUCACACGGGCACUGAGACACGGGCCCGACUCCUACGGGAGGCAGCAGUAAGGAAUAUUGGUCAAUGGACGCAAGUCUGAACCAGCCAUGCCGCGUGGAGGAUGAAGGUCCUCUGGAUUGUAAAC
rnacentral:rRNA from 1 species